CGUAAGCCUGGGUGACCUGGAUCUGCCUGCUGUGGAUCCUGUUUCCCUCUGCCUGGCUCCUUUGCAAAUUGCAUCUGGAGUGGUGGCCCUGAAUACACUCCUUGUACGCAUGUCCAAAUGCUGCUGUGUCUUCAGAACCAGGACACCUGCAGUAUUACCAACAGGUGCCAGUGACUUCUGGAAAACACAUGACUGUAGGUUCAUGGCCCUCACACUCUGCCUACAACCCUUCUUCUUCAGCCAAUCUCUUCAUGUCUCAUUUUGUGUGUAGUUCAACAACUUUAAUAAGACUUGCUUGUUUAAAGGUGCACACACUGAACCCUGGGCAGGAGAGGAUGCCCCGAGAUGUAAUCUAAGUGGCUUCCAAAGGCAAGGCAUACAUACUCUCUUGGCUCCCUCAUUCCUCCCUGUUAGCCUGCUCUAAAGACCUUCCUUUCUGAAGAAAACUCCCCAUAUAACGCAUCAAGCACUUCAGAUGAUGAAGAUGUCUCCAAGUGCCUCAUGAGAAAGAGUCUUGCUGGAGAAGGCUGGCCUAGAACAGACAGAGACAUGAGGACCCUCCAUGAGACACAGCACAUGUAGGCCUUAGACACCUGCUUGCUGCCAAGUCACACAGCCAAGACAGAGGAUGUCACUCAGGGUCCUGCCAGUUGUGUAACCAGUCUGCAGCAGAAAGUUCCAGAAUGUGUAAGCAUGUGGUGGACAGGACUGGUUAUUCAGGGGGAUGAUCUAUCUAUGGAGAUAAGAGGACAGUUGAUGGAUUUCUGGCCACUGGCUGCAGGCAAGGUUGGCUUGAAGUGAGGCUGCCUGGGUGUGUGCCCCUGCAGGAAAAGCAGGAGGAAGGAGCCAGGCAAAGAGGACAGCCCUGUGUGGGAAGAUGUGUCACUGGUCAUUCUUUACAAAGAAAAUAAAAAUGAGAUUUCUUGUUG
rnacentral:lncRNA from 1 species